GAUGAACGCUGGCGGCGUGCUUAACACAUGCAAGUCGAACGAAGAAGAGUUGAAUGAGAGCUUCGGCAGGAUUUCUUCUCAUCUUAGUGGCGGACGGGUGAGUAACGUGUGGGCAACCUGCCCUAUACUGGGGAAUAAUCACUGGAAACGGUGACUAAUACCGCAUGUCAUCACCGGAGGGCAUCCUCUGGUGAAAAAAGGAGCAAUUCGGUAUAGGAUGGGCCCGCAUCUGAUUAGGUAGUUGGUGAGGUAACGGCCCACCAAGCCGACGAUCAGUAGCCGACCUGAGAGGGUGAUCGGCCACAUUGGGACUGAGACACGGCCCAAACUCCUACGGGAGGCAGCAGUGGGGAAUAUUGGGCAAUGGGGGAAACCCUGACCCAGCAACGCCGCGUGGAGGAAGAAGGUUUUCGGAUCGUAAACUCCUGUCCUCAGGGAAGAGCAGAAGACGGUACCUGAGGAGGAAGCCCCGGCUAACUACGUG
rnacentral:rRNA from 1 species